GCGAAAGUGACGGUACCUACAAAAGACCACCGGCUAACUAUGUGCCACCACCGCGGUAAUACAUAGGGUGCAAGCGUUGUCCGGAAUUAUUGGGCGUAAAGAGCUCGUAGGUCGUUUGUUACGUCGGAUGUGAAAACCUGAGGCUCAACCUCAGGCCUGCAUUCGAUACGGGCAAACUAAAGUUUGGUAGGGGAGACUGGAAUUCCUGGUGUA
rnacentral:rRNA from 1 species